rnacentral:tRNA from 1 species
AGGGUAUAGCUCAGUGGUAGAGCACAUGCUUAGCAUACACAAGGUCCUGGGUUCAAUCCCCAGUACCUCUG